rnacentral:rRNA from 1 species
AAUCUUCCGCAAUGGACGAAAGUCUGACGGAGCAACGCCGCGUGAGUGAUGAAGGUCUUCGGAUAGUAAAACUCUGUUGGUAGGGAAGAACAAGUACCGAUCGAAUAGGGCAGUAACUUUACGGUACGUAACAAGAAAGCCUCGGCUAACUACGUGCCAACAGCCGCGGUAAAACGUAGGUCGCAAGUGUUAUGCGGAAUUAUUGGUCGUAAAGCGCGCGCAGGCGGUUUCUUAAGUCUGAUGUGAAAUCCCACGGCUCAACCGUGGAGGGUCAUUGGAAACUGGUAAGCUUGAGUGCAGAAGAGGAGAGUGGAAUUCCAUGUGUAGCGGUGAAAUGCGUAGAGAUAUGGAGGAACACCAGUGGCGAAGGCGACUCUCUGGUCUGCAACUGACGCUGAGGCGCGAAAGCGUGGGGAACGAACA